rnacentral:rRNA from 1 species
GACGAACGCUGGCGGCGUGCCUAAUACAUGCAAGUCGGACGCAGUUGCGCACGGGUGAGUAAAGCGUAGGUAACUCCCUCUUUGAGGGGGAUAACUAUUGUAAACGAUAGCUAAUACCGCCUACUAGUCGGUGGACCUGCGGUGUAUUUGGUAGUAGGUUGGGGAAUGGCCUACCUAGGCAAAGAUACAUAGCCGGCCUGGGGAGGGGAACGGGCAAAAUGGGACUGAGACACGGCCCAGGCUCCUACGGGAGGGCGCAGUAGGGAAUCUUCGGCAAUGGGGGGAACCCUGACCGAGCAACGCCGCGUGAAGGAAGAAGGUUUUCGGAUCGUAAAGCGCCGUUGUUAAGGAAGCGGUACUUAACCAGAAAGGGACGGCUAACUACGUGCCAGCAGCCGCGGUAAUUC